GGGCAGGGUGGCAAGGAGAGAAGGCUCUGGAUGGUAGAUUGAGGCCUCUGGGUGGCCCUUUUUGGGUGUAGCCGAGAGGCUGACGCAUGACCAGGAAUAGCCUCCUGAGCUGGGUGGGGCCUUGAGCUUCAAAAUCCUGGCCUCAGAUUGACACGAUUUACAGAGACUCUGCCCAUGUGGACAGAAAUGUUUCGGCCUCCAGCCUUAGAAUCACAGAAAGUUCAUGAUGAUGAUAAUCAGAACAGUGGCUCAUCUUCAGUGAGUGCUUACUAUCUACCAGGUACCCUGCUAAGCCUUCAUCCAUUGUCACAGUUACU
rnacentral:lncRNA from 10 species